GGGCCCGCACAAGCGGUGGAGUAUGUGGUUUAAUUCGAUGAUACGCGAGGAACCUUACCAGGGCUUAAAUGUAGUCUGACAGGGUGGAAACACCCCUCCUUCGGGCAGAUUACAAGGUGCUGCAUGGUUGUCGUCAGCUCGUGCCGUGAGGUGUCAGGUUAAGUCCUAUAACGAGCGCAACCCCUGCCGUUAGUUGCCAGCAUGUAAUGAUGGGAACUCUAACGGGACUGCCGGUGCAAACCGCGAGGAAGGUGGGGAUGACGUCAAAUCAUCACGGCCCUUACGUCCUGGGCUACACACGUGCUACAAUGGCCGGUACAGAGGGCAGCCACACCGCAAGGUGGAGCGAAUCCUUAAAACCGGUCUCAGUUCGGAUUGCACUCUGCAACUCGAGUGCAUGAAGCUGGAAUU
rnacentral:rRNA from 1 species